rnacentral:rRNA from 1 species
GACGAACGCUGGCGGCGUGCUUAACACAUGCAAGUCGAACGGAAAGGCCCUGCUUUUGUGGGGUGCUCGAGUGGCGAACGGGUGAGUAUCACGUGAGUAACCUGCCCUUGUCUUUGGGAUAACUUCAGGAAACUGGGGCGAUUACCGGAUAGGAGCUCUCGCUGCACGGUGGGGGUUGGAAAGUUUCGGCGGUUGGGGAUGGUCUCGCGGCUUAUCAGCUUGUUUGUGGGGUAGUGGCUUACCAAGGCUUUGACGGGUAGCCGGCCUGAGAGGGUGACCGGCCACAUUGGGACUGAGGUACGGACCAGACUCCUACGGGAGGCAGCAGGGGGGAAUAUUGCGCAAUGGGCGGAAGCCUGAUGCAGCAACGCCGCGUGCGGGAUGCCGGCCUUCGGGUUGUAAACCGCUUUCGCCUGUGACGAAGCGUGAGUGACGGUAAUGGGUAAAGAAGCACCGGCUAACUACGUG